GGCUAGGUCACUUACUCUGGGUGCAGUCACAUGCCCCCAGCAAGGCUUUCUCAUCUUGACUGUAAUCUGCAAAGGAGGAGAAGGGCAAUGAGAACUUCCAGUCUUGUUCCUGGGAGAGCCUACAACAUGGAGGUCCCUUGACUCUGGUUCAGAUCACCAGAGGGGAGACUGUGAUGUAGCCUGGGGCCCUUGACCACUCCGUGGGAGGUCUCUUGGAGCCCAGGAGACUGUAGCCUCCUUCCCUGCUGUGUCCCAGACCCCUGCUCUCUAGCCCUUCAGUGGGCACUCCAGCAAUACCUGGCUGGGAGACUGAGUCUGCUUUUGUCUCUGCUAAUAAUUUGCUGUGUCACUUAGAUUGUCUUAGUGCUUGACAGCACAGACUUGGUAUCAGCAGGCCUGUGUUUGAAUUCCAGCUCCACCCCCUAGGUCCUUGGCCAAGUUACUUAACCUUUCUGUGUCUCAGUUUCCCUGUCUGUAAAAUGGCAAUGGUAAUAUCCAUGCCAUAAGGUCUUUGGUUGAAAGAGAAUGUCGCCUGCUUCAAAAGCAACACUCAAUAAAUGGUAGCGAUCACCUUCCUUUAGGUGUACCAAACAACAGCAUACCUCCUUAUGGGGUCAGGAUGAGAUUAUCGCUAUAGGAUCUCUUCCAGAGGGAAAAAGAUCAAUGCAUAUGUUCCUCUUCUCUCAGGUGUCCAUGUCAAGCCUCUAAUGUUCCACUCUGGAGCCUAGCCUGGGAUGCUUUACCCAGACUCUCUGGGAGAAAGUCAGUCCCCCCUUGCUUGAUCCCAUGAACCUUACCAGCACUGAUGGUGGGAAAGUGCCUCAUGUCUUGCAGAAGUUUGCUGACAACAGGGCUGGACCGGGAGUAGAGCCCAUGGCGGUUAAUACCCAGGUGGAACUGGACCCAGCUGGCCUCGAGUCGGAGCUGCAGUGGGGGGUCCAGGGAGGUUAUAGCAAGAAGACAGCAUCUGUGAACCGGGAAAAGAGGCCUCACCAGAAAUGGAAUCUGCCAGCGCCCUGGUAUUGGACUUCUUAGCCUCCAGAACUGUGAGAAAUACAUUUCUGUUGUUUACAAGUCACCCAGUUUAUAGUAUCGGUUACGGCACCCCAAACAGACUAAGGCAGUUUUGCUUCACCAUUUCUCUCCUAUUUCUGACACCCAGAAUUAAGUGUAAUAUCCCCAGACGUGAUUGCCCAGUGCAGAGGAGAAUACGGUAAUCACCACCCCCAUUCAUGGCGUUUUCCUUGUAUGAACGUAACCCAAGACUGAAAAUCUUUGGGAAAUCAUGUCACGUAUCUCUAAGAAAACAUGAUUUUAUGGUAAGCAGGAUUCUAAAACUGGCCUCUAAGAUUCCAUGCCCUCAUUUCCAGAACCUGUGACUAUGAAGCACUCUCACUCCAUGAUUAUGCUGCGUUGAUGGCAUUGUUGAAUUUAGGGAGGUUGUCAAGGUGGGCCUGAUUGAAUCGCAUGAGCCCUUGAAAGUAAAGUUUUUUUUCUGGCUGUUUUCAGAAGUCCAAAAGAUCCAGGGCAUCAGAAGCAUUUGACACACUAUUGUUGGCUUUGAAGACCCACUAUUGUUGGGUCAAGUGGAAGGACCAGAAAGCCACCAUGAGGAGCUGAGAAUGCUUCCCGGCUGAAGCCAGCAAGGAAAUGGGGGCAAGGAACUGAAUUCUACCAACAACGAGAAUGAGCUUGAAGGAGGACCCCUGAGCUGCUGACGAAAAUGCAGCCAACCAACACCUUGAUUUUAAUCUUGUGAGAUCCUAGCAGAAAAUGAGUCAUACCAUCAGAUAUGGUUUGGAUGUUUGUCCCCUCCAAAUCUCAUGUUGAAAUGUAGUCCCCAGUGUUGAAGGUGGGGCCUGGUGGGAGGUAAUUGUAACAUAGGGGUGGGUCCCUCAUGAAUGGCUUAGCACCGUCUCCUUGGUGAUGAAUGAGGUCUUGCUCAGAGUUCAUGUGAGAUCUGGAUGUUUAAAGGCAUAUGGCACCUCCCCGCUCACUCUCUUGUGCUCCUGCUCUUGCCAAUGUGAUGUGCCUGUUCUCUACCACCUUCUGCCAUGAGUAAGUUUUCUGAGGCCCUCACCAGAAGCAGCAUGCUUCCUGUACAGCCUGCAGAACCAUGAGCCAAUUACAUCUUUUUUUAAAAAAUAAAUUACCCAGCUUCAGGUAUUUCUUUUUUCCUUCCCUUCCUUCCUCCCUCCCUCCUUUCUCUUUCCUUCCUUCCUUCCUUCUUUCGACGAAGUUUUGCUCUUGUUGCCUAGGCUAGAGUGCAAUGGCACAAUCUUGGCUCACUGCAACCUCUACCUCCCAGGUUCAAGCGAUUCUCCUGCCUCAGCCUUCUGAGUAGCUGGGAUUACAGGUGCAUGCCACCAUGCCUGGCUAAUUUUGUAUUUUUAGUAGAGAUGGGGUUUUACCAUCUUGGCCAGGGUGGUCUUGAACUCCUGACCUCAGGUGAUCCGCCCGCCUUGACCACCCAAAGAGCUGGAAUUACAGGCGUGAGCCACCACACCUCGCCAGAUAUUUCUUUAUAGCAACGCAAAACGGCCUGAAACAUUAUCCCAGACUUCUGACCUAUAGGACAAAUGGGGUGUUGUUCUAAGUGUCUAAGUUUGUGGCAAUUUGUACUCAAAAAUAAAAAACGAAUACGUACUUUGUUCACAGAAAGGCUCAAAAGCUAAAUGCUCUUAUUUUAAGCAUAUGCUUUCAUUUCUUUUAAAAAUAACCCUAAGUAAUAUUUUUUAUUAGAUCUAGAAAACUAUUCAUACUCUGCAAUAAAACUUUUAUUUUCCCUCAAAAGCCAUGCCAUAGUAUUGCCUUCUAUUUGUGUUGGACAGUGAGGCCAUUGCCUGGUAACACUGGCCUUCCUUUUAAGGAAAGAGAAAAAGUAUAUAUCACAAAAAUAAAGCACAAAGUCUUCAUGGCUGUUGCUUUCAUCAACAAAAAUAAAACCUUAGUUACAAAUCACAUGAUCUUCAGGGGAGAAGUAGAAAUCACUUUGCUCCUGACUCUGCAAUACUGGAAUUUUCCUUGGAAAUAGUUUCCUAAAAAGAAGAGUAUUUCUUUCAGAAAAAAAGAGCAUUUUAAAACGUUUGAUUUUACUUAUUUUUUAAGUAGCAAAUGCAUUUACAUGGCUCAAAAUGUUAAAUGUCAAGACUCUUCCAUCCUGUCCCUGAGUUAACCCGCUUCCCAUCUCCAGAGGCAACUAAUGUUGCUGGUGUUUUUCCCCAUUGUUUUUUUCCACUUUUAUUUUUAUAGGUAUGAUAAUAUAAAAUCCGCACUGUUCUGAAACUUGCUUUAUUUUCCUGUCAAUAGGUUCUGGUGAUUUUUCCAAUUCAGUACACAGAAAGCUCCUCAUUCUUUGUUAAGUUCAUCACAUCAUAUUCCAGUGUAUGAAAAUCACAUCAUUAACCUGCUAUGGUCUGAAUGUUUGUGUUACCCCUAAAUUCAUAUGUUGAAACCUAAUCCCCAGUAUGAUAGUAUUAGGAAGUGGGGCCUUUGGGAGGUGAUUGGGCCAUGAGGGCAGAGCCCUCAUGGGUGGGAUUAGUGCCCUUCUAAAAAAUAUCCUGUAUUUUUAGUAGAGAUGGGUUUCACCAUGUUGGCCAGAUGGUCUCAAUCUCUUGACCUCAUGAUCCACCCGCCUCGGCCUGCCAAAGUGCUGGGGUUAUGGUGACAUGCACCUGCAGUCCCAGCUACUUGGAAGGCUGAGGCAGGAGAAUCGCUUGAACCUGGGAGGUGGAGGUUGCAGUGAGCUGAGAUCACGCCACUGCACUCUGGCCUGGCGACAGAGCGAAACUCCAUCUCAAAAAAAAAAAAAAAAAGAGAUUUCGGAAUGCUAUCUCAUCUCUCCCACUAUGUGAAGAGAGAAGGCUUCAUCUAUGAACCGGAAAGCAGGUCCUCACACUAGACACUGAAUCUGCUGGUGGCUUAAUCUUGGACUUCCCAGCCUCUAGUACUGCAAGAAAUAAAUUUCUUUUGUUUAUAAGCCAAUCAGUUUAUGUUACUUUGUUAUAGCAGUCUGAAUAGAUGAAGACAUCAUCUACUUGCAAACUUCUAGGUUGUUUGUAAUGUUUUGUUAUGCCGAGCGAUGCUGGGACAUUCUACCUAUAAAUAUGACGUUCUGCAUGUGUGAGAGUGUAUCGGUAUGAUAAAUUCUUAUAAGUGUUGUUGAUGGGUCAGAGGGUAGGUGCAUUUAUAAUUGUUACUGAUAUUGCCAAAGUACCCUCUGCCAAGGCAAGAUACUGCUAAUCCCUCUCCCUCAGCAUUGUAUGAGACUAUAUUCAAGAAGCUUUGCCAACAGUGUAGUGACACUUCUUGAUCCUUGUCAAUCUAAUAGGUGAAAAAUGGUAUCACAGUGCAUUUUGAGUUUGCAUCUCUAUCUUGUUAUGAGGGAAGCAGAACAUCUUUUCCUCUGUUCAAGAGUCAUUUGCAUUACAUUUGCCUAUGUUUGUAUUGAGUUGUUAGUCUUUUUCCUAUUGAGUUUAUACACUCAGAAAAUUACAUUUUUUCUCAUAUGAUUUGCAUUUUUCUCCCAGUUUGUUGUCAAUCUUUUGACUUCACUUAUGGUGAUUUUUUAAAAUGCAGAAAUGUUGAUUUUUUAUAAGGUUGAAAUGACCAACCCACUUAUUCAUGGCUCCAACUUGUGUGAAAUUCUUAGGCCAGUCUCACGUUGAAAUUACAAGAAUAAGAAACCAAACCAAAGCAUGGUUUCCUCUAGUAUUUUGUGGUUUCAUUUUUUUCCAUUUAAAUAUCUGAGAGGUCUAGAAUUUAUUUAGAUAAAAUGUGUUAGGUAUGGGUUCACCUUUCUUCCGCCCUCCAGGAUGACUAGCUAGUUCUUUAACAAUCAUUUAUUAAACAAAUUCAUUUUUUAGUUCACUGAUUUGAAAUGUCAUCUUUGUCAGACAAAACAUUUCCAUUUGUAUUUGGGUCUAUUUCUGGAAGCUCCAUUCUGUUUCAUGCUCUGUCUGGCCAUAUUCCAAGGCAAUGCUGUUGAACUUUUUUAACUUGAUAAAACACUUUAACAGCUGGUGGGGCUAGUCUUUUUGAUUGCUCUUUUUUUUUUUUUUUUUUUAAAGAGUUUUCCUAUAUAGUCCAACUUGUAUACUUAUCCACAUGAAUUUUACAAUUAUAUAAACGCUUUCAAAAUGGAAACCUUAAAAAGUUUUAAACAGGCUUAUCAAGUAACCUUAUUAUAAUGUCUUCUUGAAUUAUUGAUGAGCGUGUAGUUGGCACAUCGUUCUAGAGGGUAACUUCCCAGUACAUUUCUUUCUUUCUUUUUUCUUUCUUUCUGUUUUAUUUUUUGAGACAGAGUCUCCCUCUGUCACCCAGGCUGGAGUGCAGUGGUAUGAUCUUGGCUCACUGCAACCCCUGCCUCCCAGAUUCAAGCAAUUCUCCUGCCUCAGCCUCCCGAGUAGCUGGGAUUUACAGGCGCAUGCCACCACACCUGGCUAAGUUUUGUUUUUUCAGUAGAGACGGGGUUUCGCCAUGUUGGCCAGGAUGGUCUUGAACUCCUCAUCUCAGGUGAUCCACCCGCCUUGGCCUCUCAAAAUGCUGGGAUUACAGGCAUAAGCCACCACGCCCGGCCCCCAGUACCUUUCAAAACGUGUAAUGAGUGUACCCUUUGACUUAGCAAUUUCACUUCUGCAACUUAUCCUGUAGAAUGAUUUGCACAACUGUGCAAGAAAAUAUGUUCAAAGAUGUUCAUUAUUGUUUGUAACUGUAAAAACUGGAGAAAAGAGAAAUAUCUAGGACAGGGGUAUUUAAGAGAUAUCUCUAUAUGUAGUGACGUAGAAGGAUGUCUAAUUUCAGAACAGUGUAGAGUGGGUCUUUUUCUUUUUGCUAAAAAUAUCAUAUACAGGUGCUUAUAUAGACAUAGACACUUUCAUUUAGUGUGCAUGAAAAGAGCACAUACCAAACUCAAUGAUGGUGCUCCUUGGGGGUAUGCAUGAGUAGCUUCAUUUUUACUUUAUAUAUUUCUGUAAUUGUACAAUUAAACAAAUUACACUGCAAGUUGUUUUUGCAUACCUCUUUCUCAUUCCUCCAUGUGUCUCCCCAUCUAGCAUCCUUUUCCAUCCCCCCCCCUUUUUAUUUUAAGCAUUGCAUCUUCUCAUUUGAAUUGCAUUUCCCAGACCUGGCAAAAAAAAUAUUUCCUCUUGUACUUGCAUGAUCUGUGACCCACAAUUUCAGAUCACAAUGCCCCAUCUCCUUGAGUCCCUGUGGUUAAUUCAGGCAUGUGCAAAUGACCCAAGCUGUGUCAAUCUGAGGAUUCUUAAAGAUUUUUCAAAGGCUAGCAGAGAAGAGCUGUUUUCAUUUUCUGGGAUUCUCAGCUAUGAGAAGACUGUACAUGAAGAGCUGCCAAUGA
rnacentral:lncRNA from 1 species